rnacentral:snRNA from 1 species
AAAGCUCACUGGCAGCAGAGAUAUACCAUAAUAAAGAAGAUAGUUUUCCCAGGGCAAGGCUCCAAGACUCAUCCAUCACCCGAGGCAUGUACUGACCUCUACAAUUUCUGCAAAUUUGGGGAAAUGGAUUGUAUAAUUUAUGAUAGUACGAGCUUAUGUUCAUAUGAAUGCUCCCC